AGUGAACGCUGGCGGCGUGCUUAACACAUGCAAGUCGAACGAGAACGGAAUAUAGCUUGCUAUAUUUGUCAGCUAAGUGGCGCACGGGUGAGUAAUGUAUAGAUACCCUGCCCUUAAGAAAGGAAUAACAGUUGGAAACGACUGCUAAUGCCCUAUAUGCCUUUAAUACAUAAGUAUGCAAGGGAAACGCUUUAGUGCUUAAGGAUGGGUCUGUAUGGUAUCAGCUUGUAGAUGAGGUAAUGGCUAACAAAGGCUAUGACGCCUAACUGGUUUGAGAGGAUGAUCAGUAACACUGGAACUGAGACACGGUCCAGACUCCUACGGGAGGCAGCAGUGGGAAAUAUUGCACAAUGGACGAAAGUCUGAUGCAGCAACGCCGCGUGGAGGAUGACACAUUUCGGUGCGUAAACUCCUUUUAUAUAGGAAGAUAAUGACGGUACUAUAUGAAUAAGCACCGGCUAACUCCGUGCCAGCCGCCGCAGUAA
rnacentral:rRNA from 1 species